rnacentral:rRNA from 1 species
CGCGUGCACUGGUUCGGCCGGGCCUUUCCCUCUGGGGAGCCGCAUGCCCUUUACUGGGUGUGUCGGGGAACCAGGACUUUUACUUUGAACAAAUUAGAUCGCUUAAAGAAGGCCUAUGCUCGAAUACAUUAGCAUGGAAUAAUAGAAUAGGACGCGUGGUUCUAUUUUGUUGGUUUCUAGGACCGCCGUAAUGAUUAAUAGGGACAGUCGGGGGCAUCAGUAUUCAAUUGUCAGAGGUGAAAUUCUUGGAUUUAUUGAAGACUAACUACUGCGAAAGCAUUUGCCAAGGAUGUUUUCAUUAAUCAGGAACGAAAGUUAGGGGAUCGAAGACGAUCAGAUACCGUCGUAGUCUUAACCAUAAACUAUGCCGACUAGGGAUCGGACGAUGUUAUAUUUUGACUCGUUCGGCACCUUACACGAAAGUAAAGUUUCUGGGUUCUGGGGGGAGUAUGGUCGCAAGGCUGAAACUUAAAGAAAUUGACGGAAGGGCACCACCAGGGGUGGAGCCUGCGGCUUAAUUUGACUCAACACGGGGAAACUCACCAGGUCCAGACACAAGUAGGAUUGACAGAUUGAGAGCUCUUUCUUGAUUUUGUGGGUGGUGGUGCAUGGCCGUUCUUAGUUGGUGGAGUGAUUUGUCUGCUUAAUUGCGAUAACGAACGAGACCUUAACCUGCUAAAUAGCCCGCAUUGCUUUGGCAGUGCGCCGGCUUCUUAGAGGGACUAUCGG